rnacentral:rRNA from 1 species
CAUGAAGUCGGAAUUGCUAGUAAUCGCGGAUCAGCAUGCCGCGGUGAAUACGUUCCCGGGCCUUGUACACACCGCCCGUCACACCAUGAGAGCCGUCAAUGCCCGAAGUCCGUAGCCUAACCGCAAGGAGGGCGCGGCCGAAGGCAGGGGUGGUAAUUAGGGUGAAGUCGUAACAAGGUAUC